UCUCUGUUUGGCACAGGUUUGCUUAACCCUUUUUUUGAGGACAAUUAUAGUAAUGAAGGUCUGCAACAGUUAUUGUUGAAUUAGAACAGUUGAGAGGGAAGUGGUGUCCUCAGAUGUGGGCUGCUUUGAAUUGCACUCAGUUGAAGAGUGGAACGGAUGCCAGAAUUCAAGAGCUGGGCAAAUGCCUUCAACGCAAACACUUCUAGCCUGGGGGACUGGAGUGGUAAGACAGGAGUGACGAUGUUUUAAAAAAAAGCAGUGUCUGUUUCGGGAAUAAUCUUUUUAUCUGCUGCUCAGACAUAAUCCCUCUUACGGUCCAGCUGGAAGAGUUUUCUUCAUCUUAUUAACCUUCUGGAGCAGCAUCUGUCAACCCCAGUAGACUUCAGCACCACCACGAUAAACAAGGGAAGUCUCUUCUAGUGCCCAUUGUCUUCAAACACUGCAUUUGAGCAUUCCAGAGGUAUGGCAAGUGAGCAGAGGUGAAAUCAUGGGGAAAGAUGAUUGGGUUAUUUCCAAACCUGUGAUCGCAAAAACCAGGGAACUUCCUUUGAAAAGGAAGAGACUUUCUCUGAAAGAACAUACUAUAUUCUGCUUUCCGACUACAUUUGACUUGGAAGCCCCUCUCCGUCCUCAUACCGAAAAGUCUGGAUCUGCAACUUUUGGAAGCACAGGGAAUUUUUCUUAUGGUAGUGGAAUCCACUGUUUCUAGCAUCAUCUUCUGAAAGUGCAGGGUCGGCAUUUCUGGAAAUCAUAAGCCAUUUCUUCAGAGAACCCUAGGUACAAAACUCCCUAUGGAAUUUGGUGGGAAUGUGAUCCUUUAAUUCUAUUAGGAAUCUAAUUUAAGCAUUUGACUACAUUUUAAAAAGUGCAAUAAAGAGAUUUACUUAAUUACUAUGCAGAGUUGUUAGUGGAGUCUGAAGCAAGAAUCAGAAAACCUUUCUUUUAAAAAUGCUGAGUGAGACAUUCUCAUAUAGGAGAAGACACAUUUAAAGCUUUGUAUCUUUCAGAGAAUUUUUUUUUAAAAAAAAACAUGUGCAGAAACAAUCCUAGAAGAUACCACAGUGAUGUUUAGUGUCAAGGUAUGACUUUCAGAAAAUAUUGAGCUCCAUGGGUAAACUUUGACUAAAAGCUGCAGGGCUGUAGGGCGGGAAUCUGCAUUGGGAUGCUGCCUAAAUGAUGAAUAUUUCAAGCUGUUUUCUGUUAAGGCAGUGCCUUCCAUGUAUUUUCUAUGUAUUUCCAUUUAAUUAAGAUUUUUUUUUUCUUUUUUUCUUUUUUUUUUUUUAACUAACCUUGAUAACUGGCACAGUGGAAGCAAACAAGAAUGAUAAACACUCAUUAAAGCUAAAGCAAUAUUAUCUAGGGACCACUCCAUCUCUAAGUACUGUAGUGUUUAAUUAUAGGUCACUGUUAAUUAAUCUAGAAGCAUUUCUUCUAGUUGGUUUGUUGUCAACAAUAAUUAUAUAUUCUUAAAGAGGCAAUUAAAAGAAUUCAACUGAAAUUCAAUAGUGCACUACAAAUACACUACCAAGACAUGGGAAGGGCAAAACCGUAUACUAAAAUAUCCUUUCAUCCAAGAUAAGUGCUUGUAAAUGUUUUAAAUCAGACCUGUCAAUGGUCAACUCAAUGAAUCACUGCACAUAUCUAAAAUGGUAUGCUGACAUGUUGUUUAAAAACAACAAAAGCUGUUUCUUUGUUUGCAGAAAAAUAAUAAUUUAGGCCAUUGAGAACCCUGUUUUGAAGAUGUUUUAUGUAAAUGGUGGUCAAGACUGAGGUUCAAGACAUUGCCACAUAAAGAUGAUCCAAAAGUAGUUAUGUAUAGUGUUAAAUUUUAUGUACCGUACUUAGGUAUGGAAAUCAGGGUGCUGGCUAACUAAAGUUCCCAAUGCAAAAAAGACAGAUCUUCUCUUCCAAACAGGAGUCUAAAUCAUCUAAGUUUGUGUUCUAGUUUUAGAUGUUCUGUGUCAUUUUUUCCUUCUGGUCAAGCAAACUGUUUUACUUAUAAUUUCCAUGCUGCAUUUCCCUGAUAAACUUGCCUCACCACAAGGAAGGGUAGAUCUGUACUUAUGAAGUAUUUUUUAAAUAAUCCCAAGUCUUUCUCUGCCUCUGCGGGAUCCAGACUGGUAUCCUGCAACUGCUAGGCAGUAGACACAGAUGUAGGCU